rnacentral:rRNA from 1 species
UACGUAGGCAGCAAGCGUUGUUCGGAGUUACUGGGCGUAAAGAGUGUGUAGGCGGAUCGUUAAGUCGGGGGUGAAAUCCUGGAGCUCAACUCCAGAACUGCCUUCGAUACUGGCGAUCUUGAGUCCGGAAGAGGUGAGUGGAACUCCUAGUGUAGAGGUGGAAUUCGUAGAUAUUAGGAAGAACACCAGUGGCGAAGGCGGCUCACUGGUCCGGUACUGACGCUGAGGUGCGAAAGCGUGGGGAGCAAACAGG